rnacentral:lncRNA from 1 species
UCCGUUUUGCACCAAUUUCUUUUAGUUUUUUUUCUUAAAAUAAAUAAAAAAUUCAAUUAGAAUUGAUUUUUUUACUUUUGUUGCUUUCCUUUAACUAAAAAAUCUUAAUCUUAACCUAAAAUCUUAAUCUUUUUAGUAACAAGCUUGGCUUUAGCUUUCAAGCAUUACGUUUCAAAACAUUGUUUCAAGCAUUACCCAACACGAAGCCUUAGCGUAUACAAUUUACAGUAGGUCAAGGGCUGAUCUGCAUUAAGGAGAAAUCACAGGGGAGGUCCAUGUAUUUUAUCAUCUUUUUGGUGUUAGGUUGGGGGGUUAGUGAGCCCUCACCAGAUGGAGCGGGCUUCCAAAAAUUGACGGGCGAGCCCACCCGAAGUAGGAGCGGGCCCACUCGCCUUAAAUGGUUUGUGUUCGUUCGUUCGUGGGUGUUGGCGCGACCCGCCGUCUCUUAACGAUCAUAGACGCGUCGCCUUUCACCCCCGACAGGACGAGU